AUGUUAUUAUACCUCUCAGACAUCACUACUUCAAUGUUCUUAUUUCUCACACCACAGUCUUAAUUGUUAAUCAAUUAAAACCAUGCACUACCAUCUUAACCAUGCCUAACUACUGAGCUGAUAGCAUCACUAUAUCCAAAAAAGACGAUUUCCACAUCAAAGAAAUAUGUCCUACAUGUAGUCCCACUUACUAUAACCUCAACAAAUAAUUCUAAGCUCAUAGAGUAGGCUAUCCAUCACUUGACAAAGGCAUACUAUCUAGAUGAGUCUUUCCAAUGCAUUGAAAUAGAAGAUCAAAAAAAGUUCAAAAACAGAGAAUUCUCAAGGUGGAAAGGAAGGUAAUCUUAAAUGCUCCUAGAAAAAUAAAUAAGAUUGCGAAUAUCUAUAACCUCUAACUCUAAGCCACUUCAUUUCAAACAUCCAGCCACAUUUGCUAUUUCAUAUGUUUUAUGAUCAAAUGGUUAGAAUAACAACAAAAAGGUCAAUGACCAUUGGAACACACUUUCCCCAAUAUGCCAAAGGAAGAAAGAUGAAGUUAUCCAAGUACCAUUGAGGUUAACAAAGAGGUAGAUAACCAUUACUAAAAAGGUUCUAUUCUCACAUAAUAUAUGACAAAUAAUUUGCCAAGUACCACUUGAAUUUGAACUGCAAGUCCUAGUUAACAAGCUUAAUGGUUAUGUAUGCAAAAUUGUAAAUCUUAAUCUAUUUCUUUCUAAAAGAUUUUAUAAUUUAAGAUGCAUCAUUCAUGAACAUACCUGUAUCACUAAUGAUUAAUUUCUCAAGUUUGUAAAAUCUUACAAUUCUCAGUACUUGAGGAGAGUCUCUCCUCUUCCCUGGUUAAAGAAAGGAUUCCCAUUCUAACAACCUUGGUCUAUCCAUUCUUAUCCCUUAAGACUAAGGCGUGGCUACAUAGUCUGGGGUGUUUCUUUUGGUCUUGAAGGUAUUUCUUUAGUCUUGAAAGUUUCAGUCUUGAACACAUUUUUUUCCUUCCUGUGUAUAUAGCAUGGCCAUAUGGCCAUUCACUAAUAUCAUUUGUUCAAUGCCAAGUUCAAUACAUGUUAACUAUGCAUACCCAAAUAAUUUGGCCACUCUAAAUGGAAAAUGAACCCCGUAAAGGGCUAAAAGUUUUGCUUUUGCUUCAGUGCAAAGUGUAAACACAGAGACAAGUCCCACAUAUCCAUAUCCUUAAUCUUUAUCUUCUUUUCUUCAAAGGCAAAGAGUAGCCUUAUCUGUUUAUUAUUUUCUUCCGUUCUUUCCCAACAUAAGUGCUGGCUUCUUUCUAAUACUUGAUAUCAAGCAUCGGUAUGCAUUUCACAUGAUAAAGGUUGCAGCUAUUGUUUUCAAGUGGAACAAGAAGCUACACUGUUUUGAAAUGGGAGGCACAAAUGAAUAAUGUGGGAAGCACAAAUGAAUAAUGUGGGAAGCACAAAUGUGAAAAUAAUGUGUAGAUAAACUCUUGAAACCAGAAGAGCGCUUCCUACAUAAAUAAUUUCGUGAUGGAGAACAGAAGUUAUUUGUGGGAUUCAAACUGCUAACUUUUCCUAAAGAACAAUGGUUGCACUUCAAAACCAUUGUCCUUGGCGGCAGAAAUCCCCUAUUCCUAGGUGUCACUAUGAUAACUUUGAAAAAUACAAUCACUACACCCAUCUCAGCAAUUAACAAAAUUUUAAAACUGAAAUCACAGAGAAAAUCUUGCAAUGUUUAACUUCCCUGGCUAAUUAUAGUGAAACUAUACUAAAAACAAGCAACCAUAAAUCAGAAACAGCCCAAGAAAGUUUAAAGUAGAAAACUAUAUUGUACUUGAACCAAAUGAAAGUAAACAACAAAAUAGAAAAGAAAAUAAAUGGCGUGGAACAAACUAGGAACAAUAGGGAAAAGAUUC
rnacentral:misc_RNA from 1 species